rnacentral:lncRNA from 1 species
UGAUUAACUGCAUUUUACAGCUUGCCAGGACCUUGGUACAGCUUUGCAUUUUACUGUUAACUAGAUUUACUGUAGUCCCACCCGGCUGGGCCUUCAUUCAAUUCAAUGUCAGUAGUUCUUUAUUCUUUUGAUGUUGAAAGGGGCAGCACAGUCAUUUAAACUUUAUCCAACCUCUUUGCAUCUUACAAAGUUAAACAGGGCAGUGGGUUUUUCUCUUGUGUUUCUGUCUUCUUCAAUUUAGACUUAUCGAAUUUCUGAAUCUCAGCCAUAUCUGGCUUGUCAGACAUUUUUGCAGAUUAAGCAGUGAUGGGCGGGGCGCACGAGUAAGUCAGAUCUCCGAGGUGGCAGCUCCGAACUGUAGUUCUGACUUCUUAAAGGAUAAGUUAACAGAGCUCACCCUCUGGCAGUUUCUACCAUACCA